rnacentral:rRNA from 1 species
GUGAGGAAUAUUGGUCAAUGGACGAGAGUCUGAACCAGCCAAGUCGCGUGAAGGAAGACGGUUCUAUGAAUUGUAAACUUCUUUUGUGCAGGAAUAAAGUGGGUUACGUGUAACCUUUUGUAUGUACUGUACGAAUAAGGAUCGGCUAACUCCGUGCCAGCAGCCGCGGUAAUACGGAGGAUCCGAGCGUUAUCCGGAUUUAUGGGGUUUAAAGGGUGCGUAGGUGGAUUGAUAAGUCAGCGGUGAAAGUUUGCAGCUUAACUGUAAAAUUGCCGUUGAAACUGUCGGUCUUGAGUGCAAAUGAGGUAGGCGGAAUGUGUUGUGUAGCGGUGAAAUGCUUAGAUAUAACACAGAACUCCGAUUGCGAAGGCAGCUUACUGGGAUGCAACUGACACUGAUGCACGAAAGCGUGGGUAUCAAACAGGAUUAGAUACCCCAGUAGUCC